UAGACCCGAACCCGGGUGAUCUAACCAUGUCCAGGAUGAAGCUUGGGUAAAACCAAGUGGAGGUCCGAACCGACCGAUGUUGAAAAAUCGGCGGAUGAGGUGUGGUUAGGGGUGAAAUGCCAAUCGAACCCGGAGCUAGCUGGUUCUCCCCGAAAUGUGUUGAGGCGCAGCGGUUGAGGUUUAAAUCUGGGGGUAAAGCACUGUUUCGGUGCGGGCUGCCUCAAGCGGUACCAAAUCGAGACAAACUCAGAAUACCAGAGGAAUACUCAACCAGUGAG
rnacentral:misc_RNA from 1 species